rnacentral:rRNA from 1 species
GUUAGGAAUAUUGGACAAUGGGCGAAAGCCUGAUCCAGCCAUGCCGCGUGAACGAUGAAGGCCUUAGGGUUGUAAAGCUCUUUCACCGAUGAAGAUAAUGACGGUAGUCGGAGAAGAAGCCCCGGCUAACUUCGUGCCAGCAGCCGCGGUAAUACGAAGGGGGCUAGCGUUGUUCGGAUUUACUGGGCGUAAAGCGCACGUAGGCGGUUUGUUAAGUCAGAGGUGAAAUCCCGGAGCUCAACUCCGGAACUGCCUUUGAUACUGGCAAGCUAGAGUCCGGAAGAGGUAAGUGGAACUCCUAGUGUAGAGGUGGAAUUCGUAGAUAUUAGGAAGAACACCAGUGGCGAAGGCGGCUUACUGGUCCGGAACUGACGCUGAGGUGCGAAAGCGUGGGGAGCAAACAGGAUUAGAAACCCGGGUAGUCC